UACGUAGGGUGCAAGCGUUAAUCGGAAUUACUGAGCGUAAAGCGUGCGCAGGCGGUUAUGUAAGACAGGUGUGAAAUCCCCGGGCUUAACCUGGGAACUGCAUUUGUGACUGCAUAGCUAGAGUACGGUAGAGGGGGAUGGAAUUCCGCGUGUAGCAGUGAAAUGCGUAGAUAUGCGGAGGAACACCGAUGGCGAAGGCAAUCCCCUGGACCUGUACUGACGCUCAUGCACGAAAGCGUGGGGAGCAAACAGG
rnacentral:rRNA from 1 species